rnacentral:rRNA from 1 species
UACGUAGGGUGCAAGCGUUGUCCGGAAUUAUUGGGCGUAAAGAGCUCGUAGGCGGCUCGUUGCGUCAAUCGUGAAAACCUACUGCUUAACGGUGGGCUUGCGGUUGAUACGGGCAGGCUAGAGUUCGGUAGGGGAGACUGGAAUUCCUGGUGUAGCGGUGAAAUGCGCAGAUAUCAGGAGGAACACCGGUGGCGAAGGCGGGUCUGCUGGGCCGAUACUGACGCUGAGGAGCGAAAGGCGUGGGGAGCGAACAGG